rnacentral:tRNA from 1 species
UUUCCUGUAGUUGAAUACAACGGUGGUUUUUCAAGCCAUUGGUCCUGGUUAAAGCCCUGGCAGGAAUG